rnacentral:rRNA from 1 species
AUUGAACGCUGGCGGCAUGCUUUACACAUGCAAGUCGAACGGUAACAGGCCGCAAGGUGCUGACGAGUGGCGAACGGGUGAGUAAUGCAUCGGAACGUGCCCAGUCGUGGGGGAUAACGCAGCGAAAGCUGUGCUAAUACCGCAUACGAUCUAUGGAUGAAAGCGGGGGACCGUAAGGCCUCGCGCGAUUGAGCGGCCGAUGUCAGAUUAGGUAGUUGGUGGGGUAAAGGCCUACCAAGCCGACGAUCUGUAGCUGGUCUGAGAGGACGACCAGCCACACUGGGACUGAGACACGGCCCAGACUCCGACGGGAGGCAGCAGUGGGGAAUUUUGGACAAUGGGCGCAAGCCUGAUCCAGCAAUGCCGCGUGCAGGAAGAAGGCCUUCGGGUUGUAAACUGCUUUUGUACGGAACGAAACGGUCUGGGUUAAUACCCUGGGCUAAUGACGGUACCGUAAGAAUAAGCACCGGUUAACUACGUGCCAGCCGCCGCGGUAAAAC